AACGAACGCUGGCGGCAUGCCUAACACAUGCAAGUCGAACGAGACCUUCGGGUCUAGUGGCGCACGGGUGCGUAACGCGUGGGAACCUGCCCUUAGGUUCGGAAUAACUCCCCGAAAGGGGUGCUAAUACCGGAUAAUGUCUUCGGACCAAAGAUUUAUCGCCUUUGGAUGGGCCCGCGUUGGAUUAGCUAGUUGGUAGGGUAAAAGCCUACCAAGGAGACGAUCCAUAGCUGGUCUGAGAGGAUGAUCAGCCACACUGGGACUGAGACACGGCCCAGACUCCUACGGGAGGCAGCAGUGGGGAAUAUUGGACAAUGGGCGAAAGCCUGAACCAGCAAUGCCGCGUGAGUGAUGAAGGCCUGAGGGUUGUAAAGCUCUUUUACCCGGGAUGAUAAUGACAGUACCGGGAGAAUAAGCACCGGCUAACUCCGUG
rnacentral:rRNA from 1 species